GGGCUUCGGGGAUUCGCGGCCUCACAAAGAUCACGUAGGGCUUGAACUCCGCCGUCCGCAGCGUCUUCAACGCCUGAGAAAGACGGACAGAACCCCUUACUAUCUUGGUCAAUGUAGGUCAAACCAUUAAUACAUUUGCCUCGGCAACACACUGCCUUUUUCUCCAUUUUGUGUUUCUAUGACAUGCUUUGUUUCCUUAGAAAGUCCACUCCCCUAGCUUAGGUUGGGCUUACCACUGCAGUAAGGACAACAGAAACCAUACCCACCUUCCAAUCCAGACUAAAAAAAGUACCUUUUCAGAUUCUAUCAUGGCUCCCCUUUACAUAUCUUGUGUUCUUCUCUUUCUUUGAAUUACGUUUUGGAUAAUGAUAAUGGCCAUGUAAAGGGUUUGUGUCUAGUUGUACCUUCUUUUGUUGCAAUUGAUAGUAAAGUGAUUGUACUUUA